AGUCGUAACAAGGUUUCCGUAGGUGAACCUGCGGAAGGAUCAUUAGUGAACAAACCGGUGUGGCUAAGUCUGCUGGCCUUCUUGGAGGCAUGUGCACGGCCCGCCAUUGUUUCAUCCUUCUCCACCUGUGCACUUCUGUGGGUCCAGUCCAGCGCGCCAUGUGCGUGCUGGGCCCUGGUACCUACGUUUUCACUACCCACACAAUUGAAUGUUCAGAAUGUAUGUAUCGGGCAUCCUUGCCCAUAAAACCUUAUACAACUUUCAACAACGGAUCUCUUGGCUCUCGCAUCGAUGAAGAACGCAGCGAAAUGCGAUAAGUAAUGUGAAUUGCAGAAUUCAGUGAAUCAUCGAAUCUUUGAACGCACCUUGCGCUCCUUGGUAUUCCGAGGAGCAUGCCUGUUUGAGUGUCAUUAAAUCAUCAAUCACCUCGUCUUCGAGAGGGUUGGACUUGGAGGCUCUGCUGGCCCCUUCUGGGGCCGCUCCUCUGAAAAGCAUUAGCAGGGCCCACGUUGUGCGAUCUGCAGCCUUGUGUGAUAGUCAUCUACACUUGGCUCGGUUGCGUCGAAUUGCCGAGCUUACAGUCGUCUGCUGUUGUGGACAAUUUACUUGACCAAUUGACCUCAAAUCAGGUAGGAUUACCCGCUGAACUUAAGCAUAUCAAUAAGCGGAGGAAAAGAAACUAACAAGGAUUCCCCUAGUAACUGCGAGUGAAGCGGGAAAAGCUCAAAUUUGAAAUCUGGCGGUCUCCGGCCGUCCGAGUUGUAAACUAGAGAAGUGCUAUCCGUG
rnacentral:rRNA from 1 species